rnacentral:rRNA from 1 species
AACAGGAUUAGAUACCCUGGUAGUCACGCCCUAAACGAUGUCUACUAGUUGUUGGUGGAGUAAAAUCCAUGAGUAACGCAGCUAACGCGUGAAGUAGACCGCCUGGGGAGUACGGUCGCAAGAUUAAAACUCAAAUGAAUUGACGGGGGCCCGCACAAGCGGUGGAUUAUGUGGAUUAAUUCGAUGCAACGCGAAAAACCUUACCUGGCCUUGACAUGUAACGAACUUUCCAGAGAUGGAUUGGUGCUCGAAAGAGAACGUUAACACAGGUGCUGCAUGGCUGUCGUCAGCUCGUGUCGUGAGAUGUUGGGUUAAGUCCCGCAACGAGCGCAACCCUUGCCAAUAAUGGCCAUCAUUUAGUUGGGCACUUUAUUGGGACUGCCGAUGACAAAUCGGAGGAAGGUGGGGAUGACGUCAAGUCCUCAUGGCCCUUAUGGCCAGGGCUUCACACGUAAUACAAUGGUCGGUACAGAGGGUUGCCAAGCCGCAAGGUGGAGCCAAUCCCAGAAAGCCGAUCGUAGUCCGGAUUGAGGUCUGCAACUCGACCUCAUGAAGUCGGAAUCGCUAGUAAUCGCGGAUCAGCAUGUCGCGGUGAAUACGUUCCCGGGCCUUGUACACACCGCCCGUCACACCAUGGGAGUGGGUUUUACCAGAAGUAGGUAGUCUAACCGCAAGGAGGACGCUUACCACGGUAGUAUUCAUGACUGGGGUGAAGUCGUAACAAGGUAACC